rnacentral:rRNA from 1 species
GAUGAACGCUGGCGGCGUGCCUAAUACAUGCAAGUCGAGCGAACAGACGAGGAGCUUGCUCCUCUGACGUUAGCGGCGGACGGGUUAGUAACACGUGGAUAACCUACCUAUAAGACUGGGAUAACUUCGGGAAACCGGAGCUAAUACCGGAUAAUAUAUUGAACCGCAUGGUUCAAUAGUGAAAUACGGUUUUGCUGUCACUUAUAUCUGGCUCCGCGCCGCAUUAGCUAGUUGGUAAGGUAACGGCUUACCAAGGCAACGAUGCGUAGCCGACCUGAGAGGGUGAUCGGCAACGCUGGAACGGAGACACGGUCCAGACUCCUACGGGAGGCAGAAGUAGGGAAUCUUCCGCAAUGGGCGAAAGACUGACGGAGCAACGCAGAGUGAGUGAUGAAGGUCUUCGGAUCGUAAAACUCUGUUAUUAGGGAAGAACAAAUGUGUAAGUAACUAUGCACGUCUUGACGGUACCUAAUCAGAAAGCCACGGCUAACUACGUG